UCAAUGAUCUAAAUAGCCGCAGAAAUUUAACUGUGCUAAGGUAGCAUAAUCAUUUGAUUUUUAAUUAAAAUCUAGAAUGAAAGACUUAACAAUUUAAAUUCUUUUUUAUUUUUAAUCAUUAAAAUUUUAUUAAAAAUAAAAAUAUUUUUAUUUUUUAAAAAGACGACAAGACCCUUUUAAACUUAACUUUAGUUUAACUGGGACAGUUAUUUAAUAAUUAUUUUAAAAUAUUUAUUUUACUAAUAACCUAAUAUUAUUAAAUUAACAAGUUACUAAAGGGAUAACAGCGUAAUUUAUACUUAAAGCUCUUAUUUAAUUAUAAGAUUACGACCUCGAUGUUGAAUUAAAUUCCUUUUUUAAGCAAAAUAAAUAAAAGGGGGUCUGUUCGACCUUUAAAAAUUUACAUGAUUUGAGUUCAAA
rnacentral:rRNA from 1 species